AAUAUUGGACAAGCUUACUGACACACUUACCCUUUCUUAUCUUUAACCUGAACAUCAACACUGCCCGAACACUCAGAUCUAGAUUUGGAUCUUGAACCCAGAAGUCCAGCAAUGAUUAAAUUUAUCAUGUCCACCAUGCAGAUAUCAACUAUCUCAAGUGAAUAAAUGAAAUCCCUUCACAGCUUUGAAAAUUAAGCACUGGAACUGAAGUUCAAAAAUUUCCUUUGCAACUCAAUGGUGACUCAGCAUCAUGUUAAGGUGCCUGGGGAAAGCAUCAUACUGCAUGGAGAUGUCAGAAGAAGAGAGAUUGCAGCAAUGGAACAGUAGAAUCUGCUGGUAAGAGGAGAAAAAAGAAAUAAAACUCCUCCUCAGUAAGUU